UGACAGCCAUGCCGCGUGCAGGAUGAAGGCCUUCUGGGUUGUAAACUGCUUUUAUCUGGGAAAGGAAAACGCCCAUGCGUGGAGAAACUGACGGUACUAGAUGAAUAAGCACCGGGCUAACUCCGUGCCAGCAGCCGCGGUAAUACGGAGGGUGCAAGCGUUGUCCGGAUUUAUUGGGUUUAAAGGGUGCGUAGGCGGCCCGGUAAGUCCGUGGUGAAAGCCUCCAGCUCAACUGGAGAACUGCCAUGGAUACUGGCGGGCUUGAAUACAAACGAGGUUGGCGGAAUUGAUUGUGUAUCGGUGAAAUGCAUAGAUACAAUCAAGAACUCCGAUUGCGUAAGCAACUAACUAGGCUGUAACUGACGCUGAGGCACGAAAGCGUGGGGAGCGAACAGGAUUAGAUACCCUGGUAGUCCACGCUGUAAACGAUGAUUACUCGAUGUUGGCGAUAAACUGUCAGCGUCUUAGCGAAAGCGUUAAGUAAUCCACCUGGGGAGUACGCCCGCAAGGGUGAAACUCAAG
rnacentral:rRNA from 1 species